CGCGGGUGGAGCAGCUCGGUAGCUCGUCGGGCUCAUAACCCGAAGGUCGUCGGUUCAAAUCCGGCCCCCGCAACCA
rnacentral:tRNA from 1 species